UGUUUCGGCUAGGGGGCCAUCCCGGCUUACCAACCCGAUGCAAACUGCGAAUACCGGAGAAUGUUAUCACGGGAGACACACGGCGGGUGCUAACGUCCGUCGUGAAGAGGGAAACAACCCAGACCGCCAGCUAAGGUCCCAAAGUCAUGGUUAAGUGGGAAACGAUGUGGGAAGGCCCAGACAGCCAGGAUGUUGGCUUAGAAGCAGCCAUCAUUUAAAGAAAGCGUAAUAGCUCACUGGUCGAGUCGGCCUGCGCGGAAGAUGUAACGGGGCUAAACCAUGCACCGAAGCUGCGGCAGCGACACUGUGUGUUGUUGGGUAGGGGAGCGUUCUGUAAGCCUGUGAAGGUGGCCUGUGAGGGUUGCUGGAGGUAUCAGAAGUGCGAAUGCUGACAUAAGUAACGAUAAAGCGGGUGAAAAGCCCGCUCGCCGGAAGACCAAGGGUUCCUGUCCAACGUUAAUCGGGGCAGGGUGAGUCGACCCCUAAGGCGAGGCCGAAAGGCGUAGUCGAUGGGAAACGGGUUAAUAUUCCCGUACUUGGUGUUACUGCGAAGGGGGGACGGAGAAGGCUAUGUUGGCCGGGCGACGGUUGUCC
rnacentral:rRNA from 1 species